rnacentral:rRNA from 1 species
GGGCGAAAGCCUGAUCCAGCAAUGCCGCGUGCAGGAUGAAGGCCUUCGGGUUGUAAACUGCUUUUGUACGGAACGAAAAGCUUCGGGUUAAUACCCUGGAGCCAUGACGGUACCGUAAGAAUAAGCACCGGCUAACUACGUGCCAGCAGCCGCGGUAAUACGUAGGGUGCAAGCGUUAAUCGGAAUUACUGGGCGUAAAGCGUGCGCAGGCGGUUUUGUAAGACAGAGGUGAAAUCCCCGGGCUCAACCUGGGAACUGCCUUUGUGACUGCAAGGCUAGAGUACGGCAGAGGGGGAUGGAAUUCCGCGUGUAGCAGUGAAAUGCGUAGAUAUGCGGAGGAACACCGAUGGCGAAGGCAAUCCCCUGGGCCUGUACUGACGCUCAUGCAUGAAAGCGUGGGGAGCAAACAGGAUUAGAUACCCUGGUAGUCCACGCCCUAAACGAUGUCAACUGGUUGUUGGGUCUUAACUGACUCAGUAACGAAGCUAACGCGUGAAGUUGACCGCCUGGG